UUCGUAAUUCUUUAAUAGUUUUCGGCUGC
rnacentral:sRNA from 1 species